CGCAGCGUUGGGCCCAGACCCCGGCAAAGGCGUCCGCUCCCAGGGUUCGCGCCGCGGGCGCAAAGUUUAGGGUCAACUGUGAACGCGAGGCCAACUUGAGCCUAGCGUAAGGGGCGGCGGCGUAGAGGGACGCUAAGAAUCGAAGUUUGGUUGAAGCACAAGAGGGGUAAAAGAGGAGGUUUCCAGACAAAGAGACUCUUAAGCAGCCUCGGAGCAGUGGCGUUUCCUGAGGCAGCGCCUUGGCCAAAAGUUACUGCUGGCUUCCAUACGGGAGAGCACGUGUCUGACUUUUGUCACCGAUGACCGAGGCGGGAUUCAGCUUUUUAUGGAAAUCCCCUCAAGGAAGUUUCACUCCGUUAAGUGAAGACGAGUGUUCUGCAGAUCGUGGGGAUGGAGAACAGACAGAACGGCGGCUAUUCCUACAAGCCUUCUCGGUCUCAGAAAAGGUCUUUCCCGAGCAGCCUUUUGGGUGCAUUGUCCGGACAGAACUUGUGAGUGGUGACGGUACCCAAAUAAGACCAACACUGUUACAUCACCCAACACAUGACUAAAGCAGUGGAAUGCGGACAUAGAGCUGAUGAGUCUGCUUUGACCUUGCAGACAAGGACAACAAGCUAGUGGU